CAGCAAACGUAUGUUACUCUGGUGCACCAUAAUUUCAGUGUAAGUACUGUAUCAAAGUUUGCUGAAUGUGAAGCACAAAGUAUGUUAGACGUUAAACUGUAAUUACAGAAGGGAGUGGAUUUCUAGAGUAUUAUGUUUUUUGGCAAUAUUUUAUUUUAUUGGUUUUCAAAUAUACUUAGACUGCCAGACUAAGCAGGCAGAAUAACAGCAACACGAAAUUCCAGAAUAACAUAUGACUUUAAUAAAAUAAAACAGGAUGGCUCGCUUUGCUUGUAUCGCCGAGAAGAACCGAAGCCGUCACAGCGUGCUUAGACACGAUGCCGUCCAGAUCGGCGUGGAGCUGUGACUCUGGAGAAGCGACAGCCGGGUACUUUCAUUUUGCUACACAAUAUUGGACACACAAUCGGCGUGAAGAGGGCUGGUUUUGGGAACCAGAGCAUGGCAACGCAAGGCAGGUUGUCCGUCGAAUGCUGUCUCUGCUUGGCAUCUUGACCUGCUGAAGCUGGCGAAGGAACCUGCUGGCAGGCACAAAGCCAUCCGAGCAGAUGGGCACGCGUGCGGGCAGAGAGGAGACCGUGUAGGAGCAUUUAGGCUCUUAGUAAAGGGCAGAAUUCCUGGACAGACAUAUUAAACCAAGGCUGUUAUUAGGGGUUAUGCCUGCAGUACACUUUAUUUUGGGUUCCGAUGAAGGAAAGGCAAAAUUAUAAAAGAAGGAAGAAAGAUCUCAAAGUUUCUGUUUCUUCAUGGCAUCCUGCCAAGGAAUCCUACGRAGAUUGCUUAGCGGUGAUUUUGCUGAAUAGCUGUAGGAUUCUGCAACUGUCAAUGUUAACUCGGGAAUCACAGUAUGAAAAUCAGAAUUUUCUGAGAGAUGCGUUUGGUGAAACAAGCUCAUUUAUUUACCUUCCCAGCUAGCAAAGACACAUCUAGGGUCGGCCCGGCUUCCCCGCUGCCGAUUCCUCAGCCCGCGGGAGGACGCGGAGGGAAGGAG
ensembl:lncRNA